rnacentral:rRNA from 1 species
GAUGAACGCUGGCGGCGUGCCUAAUACAUGCAAGUCGAGCGAACUGAUUAGAAGCUUGCUUCUAUGACGUUAGCGGCGGACGGGUGAGUAACACGUGGGCAACCUGCCUGUAAGACUGGGAUAACUCCGGGAAACCGGAGCUAAUACCGGAUAACAUUUUCUCUUGCAUAAGAGAAAAUUGAAAGAUGGUUUCGGCUAUCACUUACAGAUGGGCCCGCGGUGCAUUAGCUAGUUGGUGAGGUAACGGCUCACCAAGGCAACGAUGCAUAGCCGACCUGAGAGGGUGAUCGGCCACACUGGGACUGAGACACGGCCCAGACUCCUACGGGAGGCAGCAGUAGGGAAUCUUCCGCAAUGGACGAAAGUCUGACGGAGCAACGCCGUGUGAGUGAUGAAGGCUUUCGGGUCGUAAAACUCUGUUGUUAGGGAAGAACAAGUACAAGAGUAACUGCUUGUACCUUGACGGUACCUAACCGGAAAGCCACGGCUAACUACGUGCCAGCCGCCGCGGUAA